rnacentral:rRNA from 1 species
GUGUCAGCAGCCGCGGUAAGACGUAGGAGGCGAGCGUUGUCCGGAUUCAUUGGGCGUAAAGAGCGCGCAGGCGGCUUGGUAAGUCGGAUGUGAAAACCCGAGGCUCAACCUCGGGCGUGCAUCCGAAACUGCUCGGCUAGAGGUAGGUAGGGGAGAUCGGAAUUCCUGGUGUAGCGGUGAAAUGCGCAGAUAUCAGGAGGAACACCGGUGGCGAAGGCGGAUCUCUGGGCCUUACCUGACGCUCAGGCGCGAAAGCUAGGGGAGCGAACUGGAUUAGAAACCCUCGUAGUCC